CACCUUGGACACCUGGUCUAGACUCCGUCCAAGUGGUAGGAGAAGCCAGCUUUGGUGGGGCAUUUAGGAGGAGCCUCUGCAGACACCUGUAGGGCCUGAUUUCACUGGGUGCCCACAAACAUUUGGCACUGUUCUGCACCCCAUGGGGCUUCAAUACUCUGCCUUCCCUGGGGAGGGCCUGAAGCACCCUCCUGGGUCCUGCGUGGAGUAGGGGCAACCCCCACAUUCUGCUACUCUUUGGAGGCCUCUGGAAGCAGCCCCAAGAGGUAUUGAGUGACCUUGCUCUAGUCCACCCUGGGCUCUACCUCCAAGCCCUCAAGACUCCUUCCCACCUGUAACCACUGGGCUUGCUUCUGCAAACUACUGCUUCGUAAUGACACAGACUAUAGACGUGCUUCUGAACUGCACUGACCGCCAGCUCCGUUGGGCAGAGCUCCCUCUCGGGCCGAGGUCCUCCCAGAGCAGGUGGGUGGGACACCAGAAUUUGUCUUUCUGUGACUUAGCAUAAUGUCCUCAAGCUUCAUCCAUGUGGUAGCAUGUGACAGGACGUCCUUCCUUUUUAAGCCCUGCACGCAUAGAACACACUUGGUGCAUCCGUUCAUCUGUCGAUGGGUAUCUGGGCUGCUUCCGCCUCUUGGUUAUUGUGAAUACAGCUGUUGUGAAUAUUGGGUGCAAAUAUCUCUUUGAGGCCCUUCUUUCAAUCCUUCUGAAUGUACACCUGGAAGUGAGAUUGCUGGGUCAAAUGGUAGUUUUAUUUCUAACUUUUUGAGGCACCACCAUGCUAUACCCCACCGUGGCUCAGCACUGUACAUUUCCACCACCAGGGCACGGGGCUCCUGUUUCUCCACAUCCCCACCAACACUUAUUUCCUGCUGUUUUGGGAGCAGCCAUCCUAUGAAGUGUGAGACGGCAUCUCGUUGUGUGAUUUCCAUUUCUCUGACCAUGAGCGAUGCUGAGCAUCUUUUCAUGUACCUGUGGCCAUCAGUGUGGCAUCCUUGGACAGGAUCAGUUUCAAGCACGGGGAUGCGGCAUAAGCAUGAUGAACCCUGGCCUUCCCUGGGCAUCCACUCCACUAGGCAAAAACAAAUCGAGAGUACGACCGACCACAACAGCGCGUCAUGUGAUGACAGACGCUACAGUGAACCUCCAGGUAGGGUUGGGGACAAAGGCGAUACUGGGGCAUCCCUGAGGAGGCCUAGAGAGGGAGCUCUGUGUGUGGAGAGUGUGGGGAGGAGCCAUCCUGGAAGAGCAAGCACAGGUCACCAGGCAGGGUGAGCACCCACGUCAGUUAGGUAACAGAGCACUCGGACUGUCACCCACAGCAUGGGGGUACACAGCCAGGAAGCAGGGGCUGUUUCCAGGUGGUCCCAAAUAGUCAUAUAAUCAGGUGUGUAUUUAUUUGGGAGUGUGUUACAAACACACACAACCAGGGUGUCCAACCUGGGACUUCAGAGAUAUUACUACUUAGGACAAGGCUAAAUAAGAAAGAGAGUAAGUAAACAAUUCAUUUAAGAAGCCUAUUCCUGGAAAAAAAAAAUAAGUUAAAUCAGAGGUUGGCAAGCCAUGG
rnacentral:lncRNA from 1 species